GCAGUCGAACGGUGAUGGCCAGCUUGCUGGUCUGAUCAGUGGCGAACGGGUGAGUAACACGUGAGCAACCUGCCCUGGACUCUGGGAUAACCACGGGAAACGGUGGCUAAUACCGGAUAUGAGACGCACACGCAUGUGUAGUGUCUGGAAAGAUUUAUCGGUCUGGGAUGGGCUCGCGGCCUAUCAGCUUGUUGGUGGGGUAGUGGCCUACCAAGGCGACGACGGGUAGCCGGCCUGAGAGGGCGACCGGCCACACUGGGACUGAGACACGGCCCAGACUCCUACGGGAGGCAGCAGUGGGGAAUAUUGCACAAUGGGCGCAAGCCUGAUGCAGCGACGCCGCGUGAGGGAUGACGGCCUUCGGGUUGUAAACCUCUUUCAGCAGGGAAGAAGCGCAAGUGACGGUACCUGCAGAAGAAGCGCCGGCUAACUACGUGCCAGCAGCCGCGGUAAUACGUAGGGCGCAAGCGUUGUCCGGAAUUAUUGGGCGUAAAGAGCUCGUAGGCGGUUUGUCGCGUCUGCUGUGAAAACCUAAGGCUCAACCUUGGGCUUGCAGUGGGUACGGGCAGACUAGAGUGCGGUAGGGGUGACUGGAAUUCCUGGUGUAGCGGUGGAAUGCGCAGAUAUCAGGAGGAACACCGAUGGCGAAGGCAGGUCACUGGGCCGCAACUGACGCUGAGGAGCGAAAGCAUGGGGAGCGAACAGGAUUAGAUACCCUGGUAGUCCAUGCCGUAAACGUUGGGCACUAGGUGUGGGGCUCAUUCCACGAGUUCCGUGCCG
rnacentral:rRNA from 1 species